rnacentral:rRNA from 1 species
UAGGGAAUCUUCGGCAAUGGACGAAAGUCUGACCGAGCAACGCCGCGUGAGCGAAGAAGGCUUUCGGACCGUAAAACUCUGUUGUUAGAGAAGAACAAGGACGUUAGUAACUGAACGUCCCCUGACGGUAUCUAACCAGAAAGCCACGGCUAACUACGUGCCAGCAGCCGCGGUAAUACGUAGGUGGCAAGCGUUGUCCGGAUUUAUUGGGCGUAAAGCGAGCGCAGGCGGUUUCUUAAGUCUGAUGUGAAAGCCCCCGGCUCAACCGGGGAGGGUCAUUGGAAACUGGGAGACUUGAGUGCAGAAGAGGAGAGUGGAAUUCCAUGUGUAGCGGUGAAAUGCGUAGAUAUAUGGAGGAACACCAGUGGCGAAGGCGGCUCUCUGGUCUGUAACUGACGCUGAGGCUCGAAAGCGUGGGGAGCAAACAGG